rnacentral:rRNA from 1 species
UACGUAGGUGGCAAGCGUUGUCCGGAUUUAUUGGGUUUGAAGGGUGCGUAGGCGGUCUAUUAAGUCAGUGGUGAAAUACUCCAGCUUAACUGGAGGGGUGCCAUUGAUACUGAUGGACUUGAGUCAAGUCGAGGUAGGCGGAAUUGACGGUGUAGCGGUGAAAUGCUUAGAUAUCGUCAAGAACACCAAUAGUGAAGACAGCUUACUGGGCUUAAACUGACGCUGAGGCACGAAAGUGUGGGGAUCAAACAGG